AACGUAGGACGCGAGCGUUAUCCGGAGUUACUGGGCGUAAAGCGCGGGCAGGCGGUCUGACAAGUCUGAUGUGAAAUCUCCGGGCUUAACCGGGAGAGGCCAUUGGAAACUGACAGGCUGGAGGGCAGUAGAGGUAGGCGGAAUUCCGGGUGGAGUGGUGAAAUGCGUAGAUAUUGGAAAGACCACCAAUGGCGAAGGCACUCUACUGGGCCAUUACUGACACUGAGAGACGAAAGCUAGGGGAGCGAAUGGG
rnacentral:rRNA from 1 species